GACGAACGCUGGCGGCGUGCUUAACACAUGCAAGUCGAACGGUGACGGAGAGCUUGCUCUCCUGAUCAGUGGCGAACGGGUAAGUAACACGUGGGCAACCUGCCCCAGACUUCGGGAUAACGCUUCGAAAGAGGUGCUAAUACCGGAUACGAACUCCUUGGGCAUCCUUGGAGUUGGAAAGUUUUUCGGUCUGGGAUGGGCCCGCGGCCUAUCAGCUUGUUGGUGAGGUAACGGCUCACCAAGGCGACGACGGGUAGCCGGCCUGAGAGGGCGACCGGCCACACUGGGACUGAGACACGGCCCAGACUCCUACGGGAGGCAGCAGUGGGGAAUAUUGCGCAAUGGGCGAAAGCCUGACGCAGCAACGCCGCGUGAGGGAUGACGGCCUUCGGGUUGUAAACCUCUUUCAGCAGGGAAGAAGCGAAAGUGACGGUACCUGCAGAAGAAGCACCGGCUAACUACGUGCCAGCCGCCGCAGUAAAAC
rnacentral:rRNA from 1 species